UACGUAGGGCGCGAGCGUUAUCCGGAAUUAUUGGGCGUAAAGGGCUCGUAGGCGGUUUGCCGCGUCUGCUGUGAAAGCCCGGGGCUUAACCCCGGGUCUGCAGUGGGUACGGGUAGACUAGAGUGCAGUAGGGGAGACUGGAAUUCCUGGUGUAGCGGUGAAAUGCGCAGAUAUCAGGAGGAACACCGAUGGCGAAGGCAGGUCUCUGGGCUGUUACUGACGCUGAGGAGCGAAAGCAUGGGGAGCGAACAGG
rnacentral:rRNA from 1 species